rfam:Methanosphaera stadtmanae DSM 3091, complete genome.
GCAGCGAUAGUCCAGGCUGGCUAAGACUCUACCCUGCCACGGUAGUGACCCGGGUUCAAAUCCCGGUCGUUGCA